AUUGAACGCUGGCGGCAUGCUUUACACAUGCAAGUCGGACGAGUGGCGGACGGGUGAGUAACAUAUCGGAACGUACCGAGUAAUGGGGGAUAACUAAUCGAAAGAUUAGCUAAUACCGCAUAUUAUUCGAGCGGCCGCUAUCUGAUUAGCUGGUUGGUGGGGUAAAGGCCUACCAAGGCGACGAUCAGUAGCGGGUCUGAGAGGAUGAUCAGCCACACUGGGACUGAGACACGGCCCAGACGCCUACGGGAGGCAGCAGUGGGGAAUUUUGGACAAUGGGGGAAAGCCUGAUCCAGCCAUGCCGCGUGUAUGAAGAAGGCCUUCGGGUUGUAAAGUACUUUCAGCGGGGAGGCGUUAUCCGCAGAAGAAGCACCGGCUAACUCCGUGCCAGCAGCCGCGGUAAUUC
rnacentral:rRNA from 1 species